ensembl:snRNA
ACCAUCCUUUUCUUGGGGUAGCGCUACUGUCCAAUGAACGAGUAGUGAGGACAGUACUGCUAACGCCUACACAACACACUCGCAUCAACUAGAGCUUUGCUUUAUUUUGGUGCAAUUUUUGGAAAA